rnacentral:hammerhead_ribozyme from 1 species
AUCCAGCUGAUGAGCCCCAACUUGGACGAAACGCUCGUCCUGAAU